UUUAAGUGAAGCCAUAAGUUUCCAUGUCUAAAUUUGAUUGUCCGUUUUAUUUGAAAUUUUUUUAUAUUCGUAUUUUUGUUGUUAUUAUAUGAUAAAACAUGAAUAGCACUUUAUGCAUGACUUAUGUUUUUUUUAUUUUUUUCAAAAAAAAAUUCAAAGAAGAUGGACAAUUAAAGUUGGAUACCGAAAACUCAUGGCUGCACUUAAA
rfam:Oryza meridionalis cultivar OR44 (W2112) chromosome 4, whole genome shotgun sequence.